rnacentral:lncRNA from 1 species
GAUGGGCCCUUUAGUACCGGUGACUAAAGGACUAACCUUUAGUCCCGGUUGGUGCCACCAACCGGUACUAAUGGGCAUCGCACCCUUUAGUCCUGGUUCGUGGCACCAAUCGGGACUAAAGGGCCCAGGUGAACCGGGACUAAUGCCUUAGCCGCACGAAUCGGGACCAAUGCUCACAUUAGUCCCGGUUCGUGACUGAACCGGGACUAAUGUGAAUAUUGCCCUGUGACCAAAGCCCUGUUUUGUACUAGUGAAUCUUUCAUAAUGUGUCGUUAACAUAUCUCUGGAAUAAGUUCUUAUGUUCAGUACAUAUAGUCUGGCUGAUUAUUUUUUAGGGGCCUUCUUUGGAAAGGCUUCUACGGACUGUUUGAACUACUGCCUUAGGUUAAUAGAAUUUGAACAUGUGACUUUAUCUUAGUGUCAACCAUCAAAGGAAUUAGUGACCUGUUCUUAAUGAUAUAUAGAGGAGUAGGCAGUAGUGCAUGGUAAUAAUAAAAAAUGCAUCAUGUGUGUGUGCAGGACACAUGCCCAUGAUUCAUAAUGAUUUGGGACAGUCUUAGAAGAAAAUUUCCCAUUGCUUUCAUCCCGUUUUGAGUGUUAAUUGCAAAGUUCAUCUGUUGGUGAAAGGAACCUGUACUCUUCUUUGUUUUAGUUCUCUGUCUCCCUACUUUUAUGACAGAGAAUGGUGUGGGUAUACAAUAAAUGUUCUCUACUCUUGCAGCCCAAGUAUACUUAUUGACAGGGUUUGUCUACACUUAUCUUUAAGGCUACAACCUGGAGUCUCAUGGGUGUGAAGAUGAUCUAGGGCAUUGCUUUGUUAGGGGUUCACUUAUGUACAGGAAUGUCAUGUUCUUUCCCGUGUAAUAUAUUGUGGUUUUUUUUCUACUCAACACCAUCUGGACUAUGUAUUACUGUAACCUGCUCUAUGUUUUGGGUCUAGGCACUGGACCAUGGUGCUGGACAGGGCAUGACGCCCUAAGACUGCUCUUUGGGAUUCCAAUAUACUUGGAGAUCGCUAGAAGUGAAAGUUGAGGACCAACAUGUAUGUUGUAUCAUGGAUGUCCCCCUUCAUAGCAUUGUUUUAUGAAAUGUACUAACACUCCGAGAAGGUUGCUCUGAGUAUAUUUGUUACAACAAAGUAUGCUUUGGUAUGAAACUUGCCAAUGUUGUGUGAUUAACCUUGAUGUUUAGUACUGAAUCAUUAAUAAGUGUUUACUAACCUCCUUUUUGAGAU